UUAUCCUUUGGACAUAGAAGUCUAUGUCUAAUGUUAUACCAUGAUGAACAAAUUUAUUUCUAGCUACACUAUACUUAAAUAUUUGUUAUCUUUAACAUUGUAUAGUGUCAAACAACUUGUUUACAUAAAUUAGCUAUUCUUUUAUUUGCAAAGGAACUAAAUAAAAUAUAAAGGCACAAGAGGUAUUUAAGCACUUACAAAUGAAAAACAAAGAAUAGAGGAGGUUAUGCUGUGUUCAUUGUGACAUAAAUAAUAGAUAAUCCUUAUAAUAUAUCUCUCAAACUUAAAAAUCCCCAAUAUUGUAUAAAAUUUAAAAUGGAAACAUUAUAGUUAAUCUCUUUGUAUUAUUUUCUUCCAAUAAUAUAUUUUCUAUUACUUUACUCUCUCAAAGCUAAUAAUGUAAUGUGCACACAUUAGCUAUUUCUGUCACUUAUUAUUAUAUAGAAAACAUAAUUUUUCAGGAAGUCAAGGUUAUUCCUAUGCUAAUUUGUUUACACAAAAUAAAAUUAGUAGCUUUCUUGAUCUACCACUUUUUACUUUUAUAUUUUUAAGUUACAUGUGAUAUUUUUAAGUUUACAUUAUGUAUUUUAUCAUUCUUUAGAGAAUUUAACAAAUCAUAACUGAAUUGAAAUAAAGAAAGAUAGCAUAUACAAGGACAGUUUCUUCGUUGGGUUACAAAAUCAACUCGUGUAUGAAAUGAAAAAGGAUAGCAUAUACAAGAACAGCUUUUUCCCAAAAUGACAAUGUUGGGGGUAUGAAAUAAAUUAGACACUUUUAGUUUUCUUUUUAUAGACACACCUAUGAGUGAAAUAAUAGAUAAUAUAAUAAUAUUUAAAUAAUUGAUUUCAAUUUAGUUUGAAUUAGAUAUGAAAUUAUAAAGUGAAAACUGAUCCAAACCAUUGAGUUAUACAAAAAGAGAUUCAAAUCAAUUUAAUUUUUUUUAAUUGGUUAUCGACUUUCUGAACUGAUUCUUAUUAUUUUUCGGCAUUUGUGCUUGUUAUAAACACCCUACUUGGAGUGGCAAUAUGCCUAUUCUCCCAUAAAAAAAUGAAUAAAACUUGGUAUAUAGAAGAGUACUUCGGUAUAUUUAUGGAAAAACAUUAAGGGCAAUAGCAUCAUGGAGUUGAGAUUGCUUUACUUUCAUCAUUACCUAAAACAAUGUGGUUCUUUAUUAUAUGUUACAUACAGCCAUAGCUAUGAAGUGUUACCAGUGAGUUCGGCAGGGUAGACCACCUCAUCAAAGCAUGUAAGACUACAAUAGUUUGACGAAGACACCAUAGAACUUGAAGGUUGAGAAUUAUAUGGAAAGUUGCAGGGACAUUUUGCUAUUUCUCUUGGACCUUCACUGUGAAUGUCAGGAGGAAGUGGAGAAAGGAUAAUUUCUCCCAUAAGGAACUGGACAAUCAUUCUCAUAUUAGGUCUGUAAUGAGGAUUGGGAUGAGAGCAAAGCAAUCCAAGACUAAGCACAAGCUGAGCUUCAUCUUUGUCAUACUCAUAUAAACUGGGGUCAAUAGCUCUGCAGAUCUGUCCUUGGUGAUGUAGAUCUCUAACCCAAUCUACCAAUACCAGUUCCUCGGGAUUCUUUUGGGGCUCUAUUGGCCUCCUUCCACAUGCUACUUCCAAAAUGAGUACUCCAUACCCAUAUACAUCUGUGCUUGUUCUUGCUUUCCCAGUCUUGGUGAGCUCAGGGGCCAUGUAGCCUAGUGUUCCCACAAUGCUUGUUGUCUGUGGAUUGAUUCCAUGCUCGUAAGUCCUUGCAAGACCAAAAUCUCCAAGCUUUGGUUGGAGAUCUGCAUCUAUCAGGACAUUGCUUGGCUUUACAUCUCUGUGAACAACCUGCACCUCACUUUCUUCAUGGAGAUACAGCAGCCCUUGGGCAACUCCAGUUAUGAUCUUGUAUCUUUGAUCCCAAGUUAGUAAUUUCUUCUUUUGAUGAUCAUUUUCAAACAGAAGCUUGUCUAGGCUUCCAUUUGGUAGAUAAUCAUACACAAUGAGGAGUUCAUCCUGCUUCCUGCACCACCCAUGUAAUUGCACCAAAUUUCUAUGCUUAAGCUGUGUCAUGCUUGUUAUUUCCGCUACAAAUUCUCUGAUCCCCUGCCUUGAAUCAGGAGCAACCCGCUUUACGGCUACUUCUAGUCCUGUGCUAGGGAUUAAACCUCUGUAGACUUUACCAAAACCUCCAUACCCAAUAAGGUUUCUGUCCCCAAACUUUCCUGUAGCUGAAUGGAGCUCAGAAUAUUUAAAUUUAUGGGUGGCAAAUUCGAGUUCCCAAUCCUCUAAAACCUCCUCUCUAUUUCUUAAUCUGUGCAGGGCUAGAGCUCCUAUAAUUGUCAAUAUAAAAAGAGAUGCACUUGCUAGAGUAAUACCUGCUGCAAAGUGUUUUUUGUGCACCACCUUAAUAGAAGUAUUUGACCGAAUAAGUGGCACAGCUGAUUUUUCUAGCUCUUGUGCUGCUGCUCCUAUUUUGAAGCUCCAACCAUGUAUAUUAUACUCAGCUACCAGCAGACCGUUGGAAGCAGAAAAACCUGCAUACAUGUAAUCAUCAAACACCAAGGAUAGGUCUAUGCGAAAUGAUAUCAAAGGAAAAUAUGGCUUUGGCAUGCCAAAAGGAGAAACUGUGACAUGCAUCAUCAUCUCCCCUUCAUUGUAAUCAACCCAUGCUUGAAUGGGUUUUCCACUCUUCAAGCUGAAGGAAAUGUUCUUGCUGUGAUCUUCUUGGCCAUUUCUUUCUAAAUAGUAUGCUACUGACUUAGAUGUGUUAGAGAUGAGGCUGGAUAUAUCUAUCCCCACGUGAUUAUCAUCGAUGUCUUCAAGUUCAAGGUUCUGUACCCCAUCAAACUCUACAGCUAGGAACGGGGUUGAAAGUUCCUUAUUACUUGUCUCAUUUGGGAGGCCUAAAUAUUGAUUUGUGAGGCACCCUUUUGGUUCGUUGGUAGAUAUUAGGACGAAUGCAAAACCGUGUCCUCCAAGAUCUGGGUACUUAGGAACUAUGGAAAACACAAAGGUAGUGCUAAAGGUUGCAACAAUGGAUUUGUUUUUGCUAGAUUUGAAUGGCAAAGGAGAUGGAUAGAAUGCAUGGCCAAAGAUUUUUGCAGAAUCAUUUGUCAAGGUAAGUAUGCCAUUCGGCCUCACAUAAGCUCCAUCCAUUUUCAAGCCUGGUUGCCGAAAAUCAUAUUUUACAAAAUUGAUAUCCGACAAUGCAAACCUCAACAGAGAAUAAAGAACAACCAAAAGGAUGCCAGAUGCAUGCAUUGCCAUGCUUGUGAUGUUGGUAUUGGUUGUUGAAAAAGAUUAGAACACUGCUAUCUGAAAUAGGAUUAUAGUUACUCUGAAGUUUUGGUCGAAAGAGCCUAUUAAUACUGCGUUUGGAACCAUGCACCUUGGAAGUAAGAAUCAUUUUUUAAAUCCAAAUAAGGAUAUCAAUGAAAAUAACUUACAGAUUGGCUUCAGACAUCAUUUUAAUUGAAAAGUGUCAACUUGUACUUAAAUAAAAAUCCAUGAAAAACAAAAAGUGUAAGUCAUUAGAAUGGUGAGAUAAAAAAGGAAUUAAUGUAUAUUAUCUCAUUACAAGUACAGAUAUCAAGAGAAAAAGUUAAAAUUAAUAUAACUCAUUUUUAAGAAAAAGAUUACAAACACAUCCUUGAUCAUGUGGCACAUUCUAGGAUACCAGUAAAACACAUAUGAGAAAUAGUUUGAAUAAAAGUAGUUGGUGAAGACCUUCUGAAAAACAAUUUAUAUUUUUUAUAUGAUUCUGUCGUAUUGAAGCUGAGGGCAGCUUAUAUAUUGAUUAGAAUUCAUGAUUUAUAUCUAACUCGCGACUGAAGAAAUAACUUUGUUUUGGGAAAGUAAUUGAAGAAAUAACUUGAUCAAACCUCUAUUAAAUAAACUAAAAAAAUGUACAGAAUGAUGAUAAAAUACUUACACAAAUUUAAUCAAUCCCUUAUAUCAACUCUCUACUAUAACCCUUUCUCAAUACUUUCUAUUUUAUUUUCUUAAAGCACUCUUAUGACAAAAGGUGUUAUACCACAGUUCUUGUCAUAACUUUCAGUUCUCUCCAUGACAAGAUAAAAAGGUUAUACAUUGAUCAGACUAAAACCAUAUAAUCUUUUUCCUCUACAAAAAAUAUCCUCAGAAUUUGGUUCUGCAUUUGCCAAAUUCAAACGGCUUGCUACUGGGGAACUCUGAGAUGAACACAUGGAAUAAAGCAACUACAAGGCAAGUGGUAUUCUUGGAGGAAGGACCUAAUGUUCCUGAAGAGAGAGACCUGACCCUGUUGAAGCUCAAAAACCAAAGACCCUCAAGAUCCAAGUGUCAUUGGAGACAACCUUCGUUUUCUACGAUACCUUAAUUAAACAUGUUUAAAAGUGUAGAGAGGAAAAAAAUGAGUAACACCUUAUAAUUGUGAUAGAUUAUACGUGUAAAUCUUGUAAACCUCUCCUUAUCCAUAUAAUUAUAGUAGUCCAACGAAAAAAGAACUAUAGUGACCUAAUAUAUUUUGAAGAAUAAAAGAAAAAUCAAGACAAUUUUUGGUGACA